AGUUCUUUACAAAUAUCAACUGCCACUAAUAAGAGUUCUCCCAAACAAAUAAGAUUAAAACGUCUUAGAGCCAGAUGAAUUGACUGAAGGAACAUGUUCCCCCAGUGUUUCUCAGACCAGAUUAUCUUAAAAGGACUAGUGAUAGAUGAGAACUCCGUAUAUUAUUUUGGUGUUGAGCAACAGACACAAUGCCUUUGCCACAAGAGCCUAACCAAAAAGGUGCACUGAAGCCUCUUCUUUAGAGCUGUGGAUGUAAGUUGCUCUCUUAUCUGAAAGGAUGGCAGAAAACAAAUCUCACGAUGAGGACAGGGGAAUGCACCUGGAUCAGAACUUAUCAUGUGCAAAUUGUUUGAUAUAUCCAGAUCUGUUUACUACAGAUGUGUAUAUGUUAAAAUUCUCUGAUGAAUAGUAGCACAAUUCUAGGUAUUGAGAUGACCAGCUUUCAGUCCUCACUGGGCCUGCCCCCAGCUCAGCUGUAGCAAUAGAUCUGCUCUAUCAAGUACAUCUAGCCACAGACCUAAGAACCACACACUGCUACUGUUCAAGACGUAUUUAUAUAUUUGGGCUCCUUACUGAACUCUUGACUCUCAAAAUAUGUCCGAAUAUUUUUAGUUUUAUGAUUGACAUUGCCAGAAUCCCACAAAGCUAGCCAGUCAUCACAAGGCUGUGUCUCUCAGAAUGUAUUUAGAAAGUGUCAGUAGAAAUUUUUAUGAAUCUUCUCAGCCCAGAUUUUACCAGCAUGCAUGAUAAAAAGCUCCAACUAGAUAUUUAGACAGAACUGAAGCAAUGUGACAAUUCCCAUCUCUACAGUAUUCCAGUGCUUAUGCAGUCUACCUGAAACACAUCAGGAUCUA